GAAGGCAAGGUGGUGUCCAAAAAGAGCCUGCUGGAGUGCCAGUCUCUUGCCAAGGCCAAAAUCCCUCAAGUGCUGAGUAAGUUUUUCUCAAUCUGUGAUGUCACUGUUUUUACACACUUAUAGACGUCAGAGAUGUAUAGAAUGCAUUAUGGAGUGGGAUUAUGAAGCUGCCUUUUUUUAUUUUCAUGUUCACAGAAACAUUGGAAGAAACAAGGACACAGAGGAAUCAGUACAGGUUUUAUGGGUACCUGUGUGCCUACUUUACAUCCAUAUACGGCCACAGACCAGGCCUAUAUAAAAACAUGUUGGUGAAAGAGGUGGAGGAGGCAAAAUGUGACCAGUCUGGGGUGUACCUGAUCAAUGUAAGUCUAUGAAAUACAGCUGGCUGUGUUUAUUUGUUUGUUUGCUUGGUUGGUUAUCUUUGGAAACAAUUGCAGUCGCAGGAGCGUAAUGUGUUUUUUUGUGUUUUUUCUCUGUUCAAUUUCUAUUAGGUGGGGGAACACAAAACAAAUCGGGAGUACGGCAUGGUCCAGAUGUCGCUGACAAAGGAGGAGUACAGCUGGUUUUCCGACUUCCUCAAAUUCAAGCACUGUCUCUUAGGGGGAAAGAAGGCCCAGCACUUCUUUUUCAAUUCAACAAACACUCAGAUGAAGAACCUGCCUGCCUACCUGAGGGAGGUGUGGAAGGAGAUGGGUCUGCCCGAAUGUCCUUCAUUCACUGACCUGAGGACCACCAUUGUCACUCAUGUAAAAAACAUGCUCCCAAAGGUUGACAGGGAAAGGGUGGCCAACUUCAUGUGCCACAACAUCCAGACGGCAGACAAAUAUUAUGCCAUGAAUUUAAAUCCAACCCAAGCAAAUGAAACCAGGGCACUCUUUGAGGCUGCACUGAAGGGGGAAGAUAACACAGUCGCCGCAGAGAACCAGCCCUCCACCUCAGGAGAAAGAAAGCAGAAGGUGAGAGAGGAUGCCUCCCUCUCCGACAGGAGCACCACCCCUGAAGAGACCAAGGUGAUGUACCAGGAGUCUGGCACGUCCGCCGGUGACUCGGAAGAGGAGGAAGAGGAUGAAGAUGAGGAACAGAUGGCCAGACAACUUCCAGUAAGAUCAGCUAUUCUGACAGGACACAUUUGAUUAUCAAAAUGUACUUGUAAACUAUGUAACAGUCAAGUGUGAAUUCUGAGAUAUAUCUAAUUUCUUGUGUUUGCUCUGUCAGGAGACACCUUCCAAGGUGACCAAUCCUCAGGUGGAGAUGGAACUUACCCCAAAGAGGAAGCGGAGCAUCUGCACACGCCGCAUGGAGGUCGCCAUCAGCCCCAUGCUAGUCUCACCGCUCAAAGUGAGGCUCAAGUCGCCCCCCCACCAGUCCCUCAUUGUCACAUUAAAAGGGAUGCAACAACUAAACUCAAAUAAAGUAAGACUAAAAAAUGCCAUUGCCUCAUGGAGGUUAAAGCUGCAGGAGAAGGUGCAAAAGAGAGGAGGGGACCCCUGAUGCAGCUCGAAGGAAGGGGAGCCGACCAACAACAAGACUUCCUCUUCCAAAUAGUCAUGUAGAUUGUUUUAGACUCUCACAUUUAUACUGUUCUGAUUUUGUUUGGUUUGAUUUUCAAUUUUGGUGUGCUUGUUUACAUUUUAGAAGUGUAAAAUGUGUGUAAUUUAGUCUAACUGUCUGUUCAAUUUUCUAUUUUGGUGUGAUUCUUUAUAAUGUAAAGGUUUGUUCUGUUUUAUUAAAUAACUAGUUUAGUAAUUAUUUGUGUUGUGCUUUCUUUAAGGUUAUAUUCUAACUGUCUGUUCAAUUUUCUAUUUUGGUGUGAUUCUUUAUAAUGUAAAGGUUUGUUCUGUUUUAUUAAAUAACUAGUUGAGUAAUUCUUUGUGUUGUGCUUUCUUUAAGGUUUAUAUUUAGUUUGUCACUUAAUUUGUAAGUGUUAAACAUUCACUGUCUUGUGUUGUUGUCUGUGAAGGUAGGAACAAAUAUUUAGGCAUUAUUGGCAUGGGAAUCAUAUGUUUACAUUGGCAAAGCAAAUUAAGUAGAUAAUAAACAAAAGUGAAAUAAACAAUAAAGUCCUGCUGUAGACUGUACUACUGCUGUUCAGGAAGCACAAUUUGAACUAGAAACUUACACAGACAGGCUGAAAUAAACACAAAAAAAUAACAAAUGGCAUCACCGUAAUCUCUAGGCCAUGCCGAGUUCAACGAGAUAUCCCGCUUGACCGUAGCUCGCUCGGUCUGAGCGCAGCGACCAUGAGAAAAGUAAGCCCAAAAUGAAGCCUGCCCCACAACGUCAUUUGCUUUUGGGUGACAGUGAGAGAACCGUUAGGUUUAGAAGGACAAUUCAACCACAGGAAUGUUCCUAACGUCCUUCCAAUCCAUGCAAGCCUUACCUUGACCGUGUGGCAUUAACCCUUAAAAAUAAAACAGGGUUUUUUGAUCUCACAGAUUACAAUGACAUCUCUCCCCAUAGGAAUACAUUGACAGCUCCCCUAAAUUCAACCUGGAGCCUAUGUGGGUUAAUAAUGCCUUAUGAACCUGUCUUCAAUGCCAAUCCAUCAGGCCACUAUGAGGUCUACCUGUGUCGAUUCUAAGCUUCCUGGAGCAACCGGAAGUGGUUAAAUUCACCCAAAAUGUAUUUUGAUGUACAUAACCUGCAAAUGUGAAAAUGACUGCAUUCAACCCUGGGUAGAUCAGUCAAUUCUUAACAUAAAGACUUUAAACUCAGGAUUCUGUAAGAGAAUACCCAAAGCAAAAUAUUUGUUUACCUAUAGCUUCCUGUGCCAACCGGAAGUGCCUUUAAUUGGUGUCUCAGGGGCUUCUCCUUAGGAGGGAUGGGGACACCACCACGGGACAGACCCCACACUCAUCGCUAGAGAUCGAACUUCAGACUCCCUUCAAAACCACUGAACCCCUCAACACACCGAAAGAGAUUACGGUGCACACCCUUAGAGGGAGCCGGAACAGGAUAACUCCCUCCACCAUCACAGAGACACAGAGGAGGAGGAACUAUCCAACACCCAGGGAGAGAGAACAAGUGACGUCAGUCGAACACAGUCAGAAAGAGGAGGUGGAAGAGGCGUUAGAUAGAGGAGGAUAUUACCCCAGAGGCCAUUCCUCCUGUUCAUGUGAGCAAGAAAGAGCAGAAGGCUUCUGAUCAGCCAAAUGGCAGGCAGAGGGAGAGGUCAUAGUGAUUCACACCCACAGAGAGAAAGACAACCCACACAACCUCUUGGUUGAGAUGAACCACACAGGUAGAGGCAGAGGGCCUUCAAGGCUAGCCAGUCAGCCUGCCUGCUCUGAUCCUCAAGUCAAUUGUAUAUAAAUUCAUGUUCAUUAAAGAUUUUUAUUCAAGAAUUGACAAGUCCCAUUUCGUUAAAGGGGUCACCCUUUUCCUGCUACAAACACAACUUGCAUAUCAUCACAGACUAGGCCAAAACGUUAAUCUUUUAACCUUGCCUGAAUAAAACAAUGCAUUUUUUAUAGUGAGCAAGAGUUGCUCCUUUUCCUUUUCUAUGAUGAUUCAAAUAUUUGGUUGCACCUCAACUGAACGUUGGUUGAGGGCCCCUUUUUUUUAAUUAAAAGCAUUAAAAUUGUGAUGUUUCUCACUUAUUUACAUAACCUACUCCACACUUGCAAAGUGAAAGUUUAUAGAAAUGUUCUGAAAUUAAGUAGUAAACAGAAGAAAAGCAGAAUUGAGUCCAAUUAUAAUGCGAAUAAUUGAAUGGUCUAUGGUUCAAUCCCAUUUCUGAAGGUCUGAUGAAUAAUUAAUAUUGUUUCUCCUCUUCCUUGUGGCAGGGGCAGCAGCACACUGCCCUCCAAAGAUUGCAAAAUAAUAGCCGGACUGCCCCUUUCCUAGCUCUGCAUGGAACUUCCAGUGCCACGUCCUUGGUGACGUGUGGGGUGACAUCCGGGAUGACCACAGCAACAUCCUCUGGAAAGGGAAAAAAGAGGAACAGAAUGUGAACAAAUGCAAACCGUAGCUUCUAAACACUGGCCAGUUGAAAGGUUCUACUAAGAUGUCAUGACAAACGGCACCUGUCAGAGUGCUCUCUAAGUCUCUCUCUCUUGGGUGCUCUGAAUGGCCUUCCUCUGGCUGAAGCCACAGGGCCAGGAGGAGCCUGGGCACCACCUCCACCACCACCUGAGAUGGGCUGAGCAGGUUGCUACGGGGCUCAUUGGACUGCUCGCCCAGAAUGCUCCUCACAGCUCUUUCCACGGUGCUGUGGACCUUAGGAUCGCUGAAAUCAACAAUAAGGAGAAAACAAAGCUAAACGAUGUGCAAUGUACUCACUUAGAACACUUUCUUAGUCUGUUUCUGCGUAGUUCCAGAUGUGUAGAUAAAUGGAUCAAGUCAUAUGCGGGGCAGUACAUGGAACUCACAUGUCAGCUGGCGAGGUGGGGUGCAUGGAGCGGCGGAGCUUGCAGAAAGCCUUGUGCUCUAUGUUCAUCAUUUUUAGGCAAGUGUUUACUUCCCAGGCCUGCAGUAUGAAACAGGAAGUCCCAUUAGUGUAAUUUCACAACA
ensembl:lncRNA